UAGCGUAGGGGCUAGCGUUGUCCGGAAUCAUUGGGCGUAAAGCGCGUGUAGGCGGCUCGAUAAGUCCGCUCUGAAAGCCCGGGGCUCAACCCCGGGAGGCGGUGGAUACUGUCGAGCUCGAGUCGGAAGAGGCAAGUGGAAUUCCCGGUGUAGCGGUGAAUGACGCAGAUAUCGGGAGGAACACCAAUGGCGAAGGCAGCUUGCUGGACGGUACUGACGCAUGA
rnacentral:rRNA from 1 species